UUUACGGCAUCUGGAACAAUGAUCAAUGAGUGUCCAUGUUAACAAAAACACGGAAAAUGGCAGAAUCUGAUGUGAAUUGAGGACCAAAACACCAAAGGAACUACAAUAAGAAGGCAUUUUUACGUUAUUUAAUGUAACAAUAGUAUAUCGGAAUAUCAGUCAUAUUUUGAAAUAAGUUGGAACAAAAGUAUAUGACAGACCUCGUGAGCUAAAAAAUAAACCAAAACAACAACAACAUGUGUUAUACACGUUGAAAGUACCGGGACAAAUUUAUCGUACCCGAACGAAUACAAUGUCAAACGAAUUAAAAACUGUAUCAGUUCACUUAAUGAGAUUUUAAGACUGGCUUGCCUAUUAAUCGAUGAAGAUAAUCGUAUUAAGCAGAAUGGUUUGUUUCUAGGAAUGGAACAGAUGAUUUUAUUUCAUUAGUGUCAUGCCCGAGUUUAUCAUAAUAUAUGAAACAUAGAUAAUGGAUUUCAAAGAGUUAUAAAAGUUAAAAAAAAGAAGAGAGAAAUUAAAUACCACAAUUGAGUGUGAGCGCUUUGGUGUGCAUAGUGAAGACUGAACGGUCGAUCGGCUUACCAUAUCAUAACCAUGGUACAUAUAUAUAUAUAUAUGAUGCGUAUUAAGAGUUCCAACCAUUGUAAAACAGAUUAUUUUCGGUAAAAAAUAAAGACGUAUGAGGAAUCUUACCGUCCUACACCAACUCAAAAAGAAAAAAAAGUUAAAGACAAAUAGAUGGAGACAGCGGGCAAUCAUCCAGAUAUAAACGAGACAGUCCACCUACAUCAUACAGCCUGUUACGUUGUUCGAAUUUAUUUUCUGGGAAUCCACGUGGCAUCACCAAGAGUUUCUGUGUCAAUGUCAGAAUACUUCAACCAAGAUGAAAAUAGACGGAAGUCGGAAGAGAGAACCGGUACAAUUUCCUCCAACGAGAAAAGUUCACGAUCUUCUGGAAGAAAAGAUGCAUUAACGAGUUGCAGCCCUGUUUCCAUGGAUAAAAGUCUACAAAUAAAAUCAUUUACCCAGUGAUGGUCAAAGAUAUAAAAUAAAAGAAGAUGUGGAGUAGCUAUUAUAAAAGUGAUACUACUAUUAUGGAUUGAUGAGGAUAACUUUAGAAAGAUCAGAUCGAGCUUUAAAGUUUGGAAUAAAAUUGAGAAUGGAAAUAGGGAAUGUAUCAAAGAGACAACAACCCGACCAUAGAAAGGACAACAGCAGAACGUCACCAACAGGUCUUUAAUGUAGCGAGAAUUUCCCGCACCCGGAGGCGUCCUUCAGCUGCCUCCUAAACAAAUAUACAUAGAAGACAACUUCAAAUAUUUUGUGAGCAUCAAAAACAGGGAGCAAAGCAACACAGUGCUUUGAACGACACAAACAUUAACAACUAUAGGUCACAGUACGGCCCUUCAACAUUGAGCAAUGAUAUACUGCAUUGUCAGCUAUAAAAGGACACGAAAUCAAAAUGUAAAACGAUUCAACGAGAAAACCAACAGACUAAUUUAUGUACAAAAAAUGAAGUCGACUUCCAAACGGCCUCAGUGAACUGUAAUAAGGAGUACUUAAAUCGAUCAGAAGCUUAUCUUCGCAUCCGUCAUGAAAAUUGAUAGUUUGCUUUAUUUCUCCACAUUUAUAAAACAAUUUGAAUCCAUUUUGCAAGAAAUUGACGCUUGUGAUAUAUUUCAAUUGCUCAUUUUAAAAGUUGAAUUAUUCUAGACGUCGCAUAUGGGCGUGUCCGUAAAUUCUCUUUCUUUUCACUAGAGACCAACUCUGUAUUGGUAUAAUGUAUCCGUUUUAUACAACAUUUAGGUAUGUAGAUAAUAAGAAAUAAGAGAAACGAUUCCUAUCUUUAUUUGAAGGGCAGCUGAAGAAAUGGUUUAAAUUAGAUACGCGGUUUAAUUAGAUACUGCGACGAAAUAUUUUUUUCUUAAAUUAAAUAACACUACCCCAAUUAUAAAAUUUAUACUGAGGUAUAGAAUACAUACUGAUGCGGUUUUCUACAAUUUAUUUGCGUUUGAAAAUGCAAAAAUAUUUUUAAUUCGGUCAAGUUGUGUGCAUGCACGAUUCGUUUACUUCUAAAAAUGCAUAAAAAAUAAGUUUAUUGACAAAAUUUUGAUAUUAAAUUUGUUCAUCCUAUCGUUGGAAAAUAUUUUCUUUUAUUUAUUGGGAUUUUUUCUCUCUCUCUGAAUUUACUUAUACAUUAUAGUGAAUAUCCAAAAUCAUCUACAUAAGGAAAUUAUAUUUCUGUAUCCUUAUAUAUUACGUCACCUUUAACCUAUUACAGUACAAAUGUAUAUAUCUUUUUUCGGUAAAUGGAACAACCUUAUGAUUGCGGUCAUAUUUACAUUGAAUUCCAAGAAAAACGAGGUCACCGGAUAUGACAUUGCGGCCAUGUUGGUUGAUCAAUCUGGACGAAAAUCAAACUUUGCAGAUGACAUCAUGCAGAUAUAGAAUAACAACUUUGGUUCCUAUAAAUUGAGCAGUUUCGAGGGAUAUUGUUUUUUUACAGAAAUGUUUUACGGUGAACGGAAAUAAAGUGAUGGUAAAAGAUCAAAAGACCAUUGGGCUAGGUCAGACACUUCAUAAAAGGAAACAUAGUUAAAACGGAGAGUCAACAUUUUAAAUGGUUAAUGAUAAAACAGAAAACAAGACAAUCCAGAGCCAUACAGAACAUACAUAUAGUGUACAGAAGGUAAAACAUCAAUUACACGUGGAAAGCUUAGAUGGCGCUAAAUCAAUCAUCCAGAAAAAAAAAUAGUUUGUAAUGAACAUUGGUUCUGGAUACGGACACAGGGGCAUUAGAGUAGCUGCAUGCAUCAAAUAAGUUUUCUAUAUAAGGAAUCGGCUUAAAAGGAAAGUAAGUUUUGUUAAUUGUUGAAGGAGGUACUAUAAUCUGUAGUUGCAGAUAUAAAACAUCUUUAUAGAACUGAAGUAAAAGACUGAGGUUGUCACAUCUAUCAACAGCAUAGUCAGUAUGUAUGUUGGAGGAAACACGUGAAAGGACUAGCAAAUGAAAGAUACAGACCAUACCUAAUAUAUUACAACUUAAAACUUAACAGGAGGAAACA